GUUAAGCGACUAAGCGUACACGGUGGAUGCCCUGGCAGUCAGAGGCGAUGAAGGGCGUGCUAAUCUGCGAUAAGCGCCGGUAAGGUGAUAUGAACCGUUAUAACCGGCGAUACCCGAAUGGGGAAACCCAGUGUGAUUCGUCACACUAUCAUUAACUGAAUCCAUAGGUUAAUGAGGCGAACCGGGGGAACUGAAACAUCUAAGUACCCCGAGGAAAAGAAAUCAACCGAGAUUCCCCCAGUAGCGGCGAGCGAACGGGGAGGAGCCCAGAGCCUGAAUCAGCAUGUGUGUUAGUGGAAGCGUCUGGAAAGGCGCGCGAUACAGGGUGACAGCCCCGUACACAAAAGCGCAUGUGCUGUGAGCUCGAUGAGUAGGGCGGGACACGUGGUAUCCUGUCUGAAUAUGGGGGGACCAUCCUCCAAGGCUAAAUACUCCUGACUGACCGAUAGUGAACCAGUACCGUGAGGGAAAGGCGAAAAGAACCCCGGCGAGGGGAGUGAAAAAGAACCUGAAACCGUGUACGUACAAGCAGUGGGAGCCCCACCACUAAGCCAGUGGUGAACUCCACAUACGCAUCCUUUGCUGAGGAUACGGUUAACGGAGCGAAAGCGACGUUCA
rnacentral:rRNA from 1 species